rnacentral:rRNA from 1 species
UAGGAACUAGGCAAAAUAGUACCGUAACUUCGGGAGAAGGUACGCUGUUGAUGGUGAAGGAUUUACUCCGUAAGCUAUCGGCAGCCUCAGAAACUAGGCCGCUGCAACUGUUUAUUAAAAACACAGCACUCUGCAAACACGAAAGUGGACGUAUAGGGUGUGAUGCCUGCCCGGUGCUGGAAGGUUAAUUGAUGGGGUUAGCGAAAGCGAAGCUCUUGAUCGAAGCCCCAGUAAACGGCGGCCGUAACAAUAACGGUCCUAAGGUAGCGAAAUUCCUUGUCGGGUAAGUUCCGACCUGCACGAAUGGCAUAAUGAUGGCGGCGCUGUCUCCAGCAGAGACUCAGUGAAAUCGAAAUCGCGGUGAAGAUGCCGUGUACCCGCGGCUAGACGGAAAGACCCCGUGAACCUUUACUGCAGCUUUGCAUUGAACUUUGACCUUACUUGUGUAGGAUAGGUGGGAGGCUUUGAAGCUCGGACGCCAGUUCGAGUGGAGCCAUCCUUGAAAUACCACCCUGGUAAUGUCGAGGUUCUAACCCAGAUCCGUUAUCCGGAUCGGGGACAGUGUAUGGUGGGUAGUUUGACUGGGGCGGUCUCCUCCUAAAGAGUAACGGAGGAGUACGAAGGUGCGCUCAGCGUGGUCGGAAAUCACGCAAUGAGUAUAAAGGCAAAAGCGCGCUUAACUGCGAGACCGACAAGUCGAGCAGGUACGAAAGUAGGUCUUAGUGAUCCGGUGGUUCUGUAUGGAAGGGCCAUCGCUCAACGGAUAAAAGGUACUCUGGGGAUAACAGGCUGAUACCGCCCAAGAGUUCAUAUCGACGGCGGUGUUUGGCACCUCGAUGUCGGCUCAUCUCAUCCUGGGGCUGAAGCAGGUCCCAAGGGUAUGGCUGUUCGCCAUUUAAAGAGGUACGCGAGCUGGGUUUAGAACGUCGUGAGACAGUUCGGUCCCUAUCUACCGUGGGCGUUGGAGACUUGAGAGGAUCUGCUUCUAGUACGAGAGGACCGAAGUGGACGUACCUCUGGUGUUCGGGUUGUCACGCCAGUGGCACUGCCCGGUAGCUAUGUACGGACGGGAUAACCGCUGAAAGCAUCUAAGCGGGAAGCCUACCUUAAGAUAAGGUCUCCCUGGGGGUUUAACCCCCCUAAAGAGCCGUUAGAGACCAUGACGUUGAUAGGUUCGGUGUGGAAGUGCGGUGACGCAUGAAGCUAACGAAUACUAAUUGCUCGUGAGGCUUGACU